rnacentral:rRNA from 1 species
CUAUACAACUUUCAGCAACGGAUCUCUUGGCUCUCGCAUCGAUGAAGAACGCAGCGAAAUGCGAUAAGUAAUGUGAAUUGCAGAAUUCAGUGAAUCAUCGAAUCUUUGAACGCACCUUGCGCUCCUUGGUAUUCCGAGGAGCAUGCCUGUUUGAGUGUC